GACCGCUCCGGUGGCCUAGUGGUUAGAGCUUCCGACUCGGAUACUGGAGGUCGUGGGUUCAAACCCAGCCAGAGUCA